rnacentral:lncRNA from 1 species
AUGGGCGAGGGUGCCCAGGAAGCCCUGGGUGUGAGGAAGGGAAGUGUGGACAUUAGGUUGCACACAGUUCGUCCAGACAACCUCGUAUCUCUGCACCUGGAGAGGACUGAGGGGCCUCACGGUCCAGACUGUGACAAGCCCGCCUCAGUGGGGUGGGAGCUGCGCAGGGCUGGGAGGGUCAUACCAUACAGCCUGCCGUCUCCGAGCCCUGCAGCUGCCCGCCAGCGCCACGGGGCCAAGGUACAACCAGAUCUGGACCUUCGCUGUGCCUCCUCCAGGAACCCCGUGAGUUUGUCCCCUGUGAAGCGUGAGCACAUGAGACUCCUGUGGCUCUGGGGACAGGCUAGCGCCCCAAACCAGCUGCACCUGCUCCAAGCUCACCUCACUAGGGGCCAUCACUGUCGCCGCAGCUGGGGGUCAGGCCCUGGCCCUGGGCCAGACUCUUGCUCGCUAAUCCCUGCUGGAACAGGAGAAUCCUCGGCGGCCCUGGGUCUCCGCUUCCCCAGGGGUAAAGUGAAAGCCAGAUCACACGCCCCUAUUCUGAGACCCACAGGCUGUGUGUUCCCCACGGAGUGGAGGAGCCCAGGGACACAGCCUGGCCACUCCGGGACAGUGCCUGGCUGCCUGGCCCCCAGCAGGACUCGGAGGCAGGAGCCAGGCACAGACAGGUCUCAAGGGCCUGAGGAGGGGCAGUGGCCCUGGUGGCGCCAGGGAACAGCCAGCACUGCAGGUGAGGGAUGCCUGUCCCAGUCCGCAGCUCCUGCUCUGCAAUCCAGGACCCACAGGGACGGUGCCCAGCGCCCUCAGGCCCAGGGCUUCGGGCACAGCAUGUGCGUCGGGGGUGGCUGCACUGUGAGGGACAGACACUCACAGGGACAGAUGCACAGAAGUGUGUGGAGCUCCCAUCCCCAGCUGAGCACCGGUCGGAGCCUCUGCAGACGCUGUCCUGGAAACACGAAUGUACUCCGGCAGCAAGGAGAAGCUGGGACACCAGUCGCUGGCACAGUGUGAGUGGCGAGAGGUGACCGGUCCUGGUCAGCCCGGUAGGCCUGGUGCAGGCUCUGGUGGGCUCUGUGCAGGCUGAGGCAUCUUCCACUAUGGGUCCUUGGGCAGAUGGGUGUCACAACCCUUCCUCCUCAGCCUCCUGUCUGCAUAUUUGAGUAGUAAGUGGACCUGCUUGCCUCUGGUCACUUUCCAUCUGGAACAUCUGAGGUCCCACGAGAAGGAGUUGGCUUAGGAGGGCUCCAGGGGCAAGUGUGGGGCUCCUGUGCUCCGGCCGAUGACAAGCUACCCACGCCUGCAGACUUCACCGCUGGGGCCAAAGUGACUGAGGAGGACCUUUAGACCUGGGUCCGACCAGGAGCUCCAAAGCGGCUUGGUGGCUGGAGGCCCAGCCCAACUCCUGCCGUGUCUGACAGGAUUAGGCGCUGCAGAAGCAUGGCUGGACCCCCAUGGGGUGGGGACAGGGUGAAGGAAGGCAGUGCAGUCUGGCCUCGACAGCUGCCGUCCUUGGGAGAGCAGCACCAGCCUCUCAUGAGCUCCAGCUGCCCCUGGUUUGCAGUGAAUGCAGACAGGUGUGGCCUGGCCUGUCUGCUGCAGGAUGUGUAGGUCCCCAGUGCCCAGCUGGCGGUAAAUUGGCAGCAGGUACAGGUACACCUGGGGCCUGUGGAUGUCACCGGCACAGACAGGUCCCGGGCUCCUUCCUCAGCUGUGUUGAAAGCCUGUGCGGCACUGAAAAUCUGUGCUUUGCAACUAGCAAGCACUUACUGCAGACAGGGGUGCAACUCAGUAAUAGCACAUGUGCUUAAAGGUUCUGAGAGCACCUCAUGUGCCCAGGUUACCUGCAGGAGGUGUGAUGUGACUUAAAUAGUUUUACUUUUCUCCAGCUCAAGGUCCUGAAGUUUCUUCCCCUCUGGGAGUGGAAGUGCAAUGCCCCAUGAUCACCAACAGGGGCAGUGGUGGACACCACGCAGCCCCUGAAAGCCACGCGAUUCUCACAACUUGGACCAGAAGUUGAACCAGGUUGACAGUGCCUGCAGAGCCUGCAGGGCCCUACACAAUUAUCCUCGUCCUCAGGCUACCUGGUGAGGAGCCAGGCUGAGGCACUCGGAGAGGUGACCGGAGUGAGAGGAGUCGGACAACACCCUGGUCCCUCCUGGGCAGAGUACUGCAGGCCAUGUGUGUCUCCGGGCCCAGUGCUGCGCAGGGGCCGGGGUACCCAGUGACAGGACAGGUAUGUGGACAGGGACCUCGGAGGCCAGACACCUAGGUCCCCUUGUGAGGGGGGCAGAGUGUGGGUCUCCACACAGGGCCCACCUGCUGGGUGACCUUCGCCCACUGCCCUGAGGCACAUGGGGGUGCUAUCAGACGCGCAGCGCACUGCAGCCCUGCAGGCGGCACCGCCCCUCCCGCCUGUGACCAGCUCCACGUCAGGCUCACACCAACCUGGAGGUGCGGCCACGUCCCCGAC